UACAGAGGUCUCGAGCGUUAGGCGGAAUCACUGGGCUUAAAGCGUGUGUAGGCGGAUCGGUAAGUACCUUGUGAAAUCCCACAGCUUAACUGUGGUACUGCUCGGUAUACUGCCAGUCUUGAGCCAGCUAGGGGCUACCGGAACAAAUGGUGGAGCGGUGAAAUGCGUAGAUAUCAUUUGGAACGCCAAUGGUGAAAACAGGUAGCUGGGGCUGUGCUGACGCUGAGACACGAAAGCCAGGGGAGCAAACGGG
rnacentral:rRNA from 1 species